GCGGCUUAACCCACUGAGCCACCCAGGCGCCCCGCGGAGUUCUUAAUAUAGUCAGUCACAGAGACUGCUUCUGUGAUUCUAGCUGCCAGCAAAAUUGGUCCUAUUACUGAAAUGGCUGCAAAUCCUCUCACCUGGCACCGUGUGGGCUCACUGUGGACCUUCAACUCAACUCAAAGGAUAACCCCAGAAAAUCAGGUGCCCACUAGGGCAGAGGAACAUGCUUGGGGAUGUGGCUUCUCUGGGUGAUUCCAUACAUACAUGGGACAUUAACCACAGAGAGCUCUUUGGAUGGCACAUGGGACUGUGAUUACAUUCACAAUUAUGAGAAUGUGGGUUCCCGUCUUUCCUUUCAUUCAUUACAGAGAACAACAAAGAGCUACAGGAAUUUUCUCUCAAUAAUACAAUUCUAUGUGCAGGA